UGGGGAAUAUUGCACAAUGGGCGCAAGCCUGAUGCAGCCAUGCCGCGUGUGUGAAGAAGGCCUUCGGGUUGUAAAGCACUUUCAGCGAGGAGGAAGGUGGUGAGCUUAAUACGCUCAUCAAUUGACGUUACUCGCAGAAGAAGCACCGGCUAACUCCGUGCCAGCAGCCGCGGUAAUACGGAUGGUGCAAGCGUUAAUCGGAAUUACUGGGCGUAAAGCGCACGCAGGCGGUUUGUUAAGUCAGAUGUGAAAUCCCCGGGCUCAACCUGGGAACUGCAUUUGAAACUGGCAAGCUAGAGUCUCGUAGAGGGGGGUAGAAUUCCAGGUGUAGCGGUGAAAUGCGUAGAGAUCUGGAGGAAUACCGGUGGCGAAGGCGGCCCCCUGGACGAAGACUGACGCUCAGGUGCGAAAAGCGUGGGGAGCAAAACAGGAUUAGAUACCCUGGUAGUCCACGCUGUAAAACGAUGUCGAUUUUGGAGGUUGUGCCCUUGAGGCGUGGCUUCCGGAGCUAACGCGUUAAAUCGACCGCCUGGGGAGUACGGCCGCAAGGUUAAAACUC
rnacentral:rRNA from 1 species